CUACAAUGAUGGCAAUUUUUUCAUCAUCAGCAUGUCACCUAGUGAGUGUUGAUACUUUGGGUCUAAGGAA